rnacentral:tRNA from 1 species
AGCCCCUUAGCUGUAACGGUAGUAGCAGACGACUCAUAAUCGUCAGGUUCUCGGUUCGAAUCCGAGAGGGGCUA